rnacentral:misc_RNA from 1 species
GUGAAUAAAGCUUCUGUCUCUGCUUCGGCAAGGCAGUUGCACCCUCACAUCCAUAACACCUGUGAACUGUAAGAUGUGGCCUUUUGGCCCAUCUGCCCUUUUUUACAAACAACUGUAGUAACAAAAGUAGUAUUAUUAUAACCUAAUA